AUUCAAAUAUAGGACAAAUGAAAAGUGAGUGAAGUGUGUCAAAAAUGGACGAAGGGGUUGGAGAGUAUCCAGUACACAAAGCUGUUUUUGAUAAUGAUUUACCAAAUUUAUCAAAAUAUUUACGCAAAUACGAUGUGGCAGCAAAAGACAAACAUGGAAACACCGCCCUGCAUCUGGCUGUUAUGCUGGGACGGAAAGAAUGCGUUCAGCUCCUUUUAAAUCACGAUGCGCCCGUGAAAGUGAAAAAUGCCCUAGGCUGGACCGUGCUGGCCGAAGCAGUAAGUUAUGGACAUCGGCCUACAAUAAUGUCCCUAGUGCGAAAAUUUCGGCAACAAUCCAAGGAGCAAAUGGAGCAGAGACGACCCAACUUAGUGGCAGCUUUAAACAAAAUCGACAACUUCUACAUGGAAUUGAAGUGGGACUUUCAAAGCUGGGUUCCCCUGGUCUCGCGAAUUUUGCCAUCAGAUGUUUGCAAGAUUUACAAAUGCGGAGCCAACAUUCGAUUAGACACCACUCUGGUCGAUUUCUCCGACAUGAGGUGGGAAAGGGGCGAUAUUUCGUUUAUCUUUCGAGGCGAAUCCCCUCCAACUGAAAGCCUCAUUGUGGUGGACAAUGUGGGCCAACUAUAUCAAAGAGUCAGUUACGAGGAAAACGAAUUAGAGAUCGAAGACGAAGUGAAUCUCCUCAUGUCCACCGAUAUUCUGGCUGCCCAGAUUUCCACAAAACGCAUUUCGUUUGCUCGCGCUCAAAGCGGAUGGAUUUUUCGCGAAGACAAGAAGGAAUUGGUAGCAGGGCAAUACGAAGCCGAUCUCUACACAGUGCAUGGUCUGACUUUGGAGAGCAGAAAGCGGCGCGAACAUUUAUCAGCUGAUGAUUUGGAAAAGAAUAAAGCCAUGUUGAGCCAUUUUACGAAGGGCACUUACAAUAACGGCUACAGCGAAAACGUUAGGAGGUCGAGUCUAACGCCCCCGCCGGAUAAAAACGUUUCGUGGGACGAAUACGUUAAUGCUGAAGUUAACAACUAUCCUAGAUUGGGCAGGGAUAUCGUCUACAAGGAAUCAUCUAAGCACUUUAAAGCAACUGUCGCAAUGAGCAACGAUUUCCCCUUAUCGGUUGAAAUGCUGUUAAAUGUGCUAGAAGUGAUUGCACCAUUCAAGCAUUUUUCCAAACUGCGCGACUUUAUCAACGGAAAGCUACCCACAGGAUUUCCGGUAAAGAUCGAGCUGCCAAUUCUGCCUACUGUUACGGCCAAAAUCACAUUCCAAGACUUUGAAUUCAGAGAUGAUCUAACCUCAUCGAUAUUUGGUAUACCGGAUCUAUAUGUAGAAGAUCCAUCCAGAUUCCCCGACUUAUGACGUCCUGAACUGACCAGUUGCUUCAAGCUCCAUUUCGAGCCCAAACCUCAAUUCCUGUCGCUGAGCGAGCGCAGUCGGACUCAGAUAAAAGGGUCGCGAGCUCGCUAUAGGAUAAAAGGUGCUCCUAUCAAUCUGAAACAGGAUGACGGCCCGGUCAUAUUCCUCGAGGUGCCGAUGCUUUUCACUCUGGGCAGCGUUUAUGGGGCCAGCUGUCUGGUCUAUGUAGAAUAGUUCGCUUCUUAUGUGUUCGUCUCACCGUGCCUAAACUGUUCUUUUGUGGUCUGUCCAUUCCAGAUGGCUUCUCAAGUGCUUUAUAUUACUUAUAAACAAUAAAUCGUAUUGCUAUUUUAUUACUUUUGCUGCGAAAGUGGCCUGUAAUACUAUUUAUUUUAGUUAAUUUUUUUGUAUAUUGUUUUAUCUGCGAUGGGAAGAGUGAUCUAAUAAAGAAACCCAUGACUUCCAUCGCAAUUAAAACAUGUUUAUCUGUUUGGAGUUUUCUGGAAAAAGCAUGCCGAUGUAGCCCAUUAUGUAUAUUAUUAAUGCCUUCAACCUUCAAGCCUUUAUACUUUCACUAGCCUAGACAUACGAUACUUUCGACAAUCAAAAACCUGCCCAUAUUGAUUUAAACAGUUCCAAAAGCUGAAGGCACUGGAUAUACAUAAUUUCGAUUAUAUUGGUGGUUUACUUAACUCGAUUACUUCGAUAGACCAAGCUGAAAUCGCUAUAGAUGUCAUAGCAAAUGGUACUUAGAUAUUACAGGGUCUUUUCAAGUGAACUUUAUAUGUUGUUUGGUGGUAUUGUAGCCGAUUCAAGUGAUUUGUGUGUGUAGUGUUGCUGUAGUGGGGUUUUCAGCUUGUUUUCGAACAGUUUAUAAAAUAAUCAUCAGCUUUGGAAACGGGUUUAUUCAAGCAAAGUCCCACUUACACUCCGAGGCGAUGAAAACCUCCUUCCUUUUCAUUGCUUUCCUUCAACCAAGCAACCUGCUAAUCAAUAAGGAAAUUAUACAGUAAUUUAUCAUGGAAUUAAGGAGACAAUGUUGCUUUAAACAUAUCAGCAUCGAAGUCCAAAUUAGUGUUUUCAUAAGGAAAGUAGCCAGCUUUUUUAUUUCUCCCAGUGCAAACGUGGAUGGCAACCAUCGAAAUCUGAUUGUUUGUUGAUUGGAUUGCGAGAUUUGUUUUGCAGUAUUAGAUGUUACGAAUUGACUGUUUAAUUGCUAUCUAAGGGAGUUGGUGUGAUUUUCUAGACUGUGCCAUUAAUUAUUACACUAAACAACCUGUUUACAACUACAAGAGUUGUUUUGUUUGGUAACCUCCGUCCUGUUCCUGCAAGAUUUAUGCAUUUUAUUUAGUACAUCAACUAGCAAUGGAUGCGAAGUAAAGCAGGCAUCUAGUUUGGAAGAUUUCAUUAACUCUGUUACUGUUUGACGGCUGUAGAAUGUAUACUAUUAAAGUGUUAACUGUAGGUACGUUGUACUGACUAUAAUAUUGUAAAUAGAGCUUCUAUAUUAAA
rnacentral:misc_RNA from 1 species